UUUCUUGGUAAUGUUUAAGAUAUACUAGAAUAUAUUUCUUAACUUUCUUGAUUAAGAAAAACAAGAUAUUUUUUGGGGGUUCAUGGCACCUAGAGGUAGUUGCAAGAUAUAACAUUUAGUUGAAUAGUAUGGUAACCUUUCUUUUGAAAUUUCUGUUGGUGACCAAGCUAUGUUUAGUUCAAAGUUAUGUUAAACUUUGAUUUCCUCAAAUCAAACCCAUUUGGUGUCUUUGUUAAGAAUUAGUCUUGGUAACAAGAAAACAUUUCUUGAUUUUCUAGCCUAUCUUGUCAUGUGACUUUUUCUGAACUCCUGAUUGGUUUAUUUGUAUCUCAGAGUACUGUUGGGCUACCCCAGGUGGUCCAUCUCUAUUUUGAACAGUUAUAAGAAAAUAUUUCUUAACAUUUCUUGUUUUUCUAGCGUCUCUGGUCAUGUGACUUUUUCUGAACCCCUGAUUGGUUGAUCUGUAUCCCAGAGUACAGUUGGGCUACCCCAUCUCCAUUUUGAACAGAGUGACAGUUGCAGCAGUUCAGUUCACUACUCUUUGUAUCAGUUGAUAACUCAUGCCAGUUUUACAGUCAAAAGUAAGGUAAAAGGGACCAUAAUCAUGUGAGGCACUGGGGACUGGGUUCAAUUUGCUAAAAAUCUAUGCAGCAGAAACAGCUGGGAACCAGAUAUGAAGGAUAAGGUGUCUGGAGGUUUUGACCAUACCAAAUGUCAAGAAUGAAAAGUUCACUGCAAGGGUUUGCUCUAUUUUGGAAUGUGAUACUCUGUAACCAUAUGGAAUAGUUAUAUCUAAGUUUAUAAAUUAUGGCCUUUAGUAGUAGUUAGCAUAUUCCGCUACAAAACAGCUACACUGCCAUUUAAGUAAUGCAGUAAUAUUGCUGUAAAUGCUUCUUUGAGAAGCGUAAUGAAUUUGAGACUCUUCUUCUUGUACGUAUAUCAAGAUAAAUAAUUGGCAAUCUGAAUGUAAAGGAAUUAUUGAUGUUUGUCUGGUACUGUCAUCGUAAAAGUAUUUCCAUUCAAAGACUGUUACUAUUGUGAUCAUACUUCAUAAGUCUUAUGCAAGAAUGUGGUAAUAAACAUUCCUAUACUAUUCACAUAAUUUGUUGAGAUUUCUUCCUCUAACAUUUUUGUAGUUGCUAUUAACUAUUUAGUGAUUUUCUGUUUUCAAGUAUUUGACAGCAGGAAUGAUUGUUCAAGAAAGUGAAUCUCAAUGCGAGAGACAUUUUCUUGGUGUGUCUUUAGGAAGGAAGAAAUUCUUGAACCAGAAGCUGAUUCUUGGUGCAAGUAAAAUAUUCCUGGUGCAAGAUUUCCGGACUUGUACAGAGAAUCACUGUCUAAGAGUAAGAGUAUCAGUCUUAAGAUUAGAAAGGAAUUCUUGAGCAAGAUCCUGAAUCUUAGCACAAGACGCAUAUUCUGUUAACUGGUAACUUAGUUCUUUAGGGCAGAAAGGUUUCCUUGCUUCCAAAUAACUUUCAAGAAACUGAUUCUAGGUUUGACCUGCUACCAGAAUCUUAAUCUUUGUACAAGAUAAUAUAUAUUUGGUUUAAGACAUCUAUUCUUAAGGACGGAAGGUUAUUCUUGUUGAAAGAAU